rnacentral:lncRNA from 1 species
CUCGUUAAUGAGAAAAGAAGCGGAAGAAGGAAAGAAAGAGAGGGAGAGAGAGAGAGAGAGAAAUAAUAAUAACUAACGUGCAUCGAAUAAACGAAACGAGAAACGUGAAACGUGAAACGAACGAUUGACCGAGAAGAAGUGAGGAUAAAAUCGACGAGAAGCUCGCGAGUGCGUCGAUAAGUAAAUCUAUUAAAAAAAAAGGAAAAGAAAGAGAGAAAGAGAAUUAAUAAUGAAAUAAUAAAAAUAGAAAGAAAAAGAGAGAGAGAACGAGAGAAAGAAAGAGAGAGGGAAGUUUUUUCAAAAAAAAAAAUGUCAAAACACAAAAACACGUUAGUGGUUCUUGUUUGAUAUCGGACGGUACAAGAAGUGUUGGUGGUGGUGGAGGUGGAGAAGGAUGGAGCAACGUCCAAGAAGACGGGGAACUUACGGACGUUGCUGACGAGGAA